rnacentral:rRNA from 1 species
AGUGAACGCUGGCGGCGUGCUUAACACAUGCAAGUCGAACGAGAACGGAAUAUAGCUUGCUAUAUUUGUCAGCUAAGUGGCGCACGGGUGAGUAAUGUAUAGAUAACCUGCCCUUAAGAAAGGAAUAACAGUUGGAAACGACUGCUAAUGCCCUAUAUGCCUUUAAUACAUAAGUAUGCAAGGGAAACGCUUUAGUGCUUAAGGAUGGGUCUGUAUGGUAUCAGCUUGUUGGUGAGGUAAUGGCUCACCAAGGCUAUGACGCCUAACUGGUUUGAGAGGAUGAUCAGUCACACUGGAACUGAGACACGUUCCAGACUCCUACAGGAGGCAGCAGUGGGGAAUAUUGCACAAUGGACGAAAGUCUGAUGCAGCAACGCCGCGUGUAGGAUGACACAUUUCGGUGCGUAAACUCCUUUUAUAUAGGAAGAUAAUGACGGUACUAUAUGAAUAAGCGCCGACUAACUCCGUGCCAGCCGCCGCGGUAAAAC